rnacentral:tRNA from 1 species
GGCGCCCUCCCUGCUGAACGACCGGCCCCAUAGCGGCGCCUUGGUAAGGCGCAGGUCGGGGGUUCAAUUCCACUGCGGCUUCA